UUAAUUGCUCGUUUGAUUAGGUACAAGCUUGCAACAGAAUCUGAUGCAAUAGUGAGCUUCUUAGUUGCAAAUUCUUUACCUUCGCCACCAAAUUCUGCGAGGGCAGCACGAAUUGCUGCCAGUUCAGCUCUCGUAAUAGUGUUUGUGCACCCAGCUCCAUUUGGAUUCACGUAGACAACGCGAGAAUCGCUGAACCAGGCGCAGGCGCCGGCAACCUGGACUUCUUUGCCAUUGUCAGUUUUGAUUUUGCUUACCGAACCAUCUGUCCAGACAGUGCCAUUCACGUCGUGGGCCAGAGCAUGGUGGGUCUGGAAUCGCGCGUUAGGAAAGCGUCUUGCUUCUUCAGCCAUGGCGUGUAUCGUCUUUGGGUUAGCGUGCUGGUAUUUGGCUUGCUUUAGAAGUGAGUUUGGGAGGGCCGGGCAGGUUGGGGCCGUGGCCGUGUGUGUCCGCGUGCGCGGGUCGCUGAUGUGCGUGGGUGCGUUCGCCCCCCGUUUCAGUGUGUCCACGAGCCGUUUCAGGCGGGGGGCAUAGCACUGGAGACCGGCGGGGUUCCCAACAAUGACCAGUCGGAGCCCCUUCUGGCGUUCAGCCUGGGUGUUGGUGCCAAGUCCUGUGUCAAGGCCCGCGGUGCCCGCGGACCAGUUGGCCAGCUCGUGGCAAAG
rnacentral:lncRNA from 1 species